AACGAACGCUGGCGGCAUGCCUAACACAUGCAAGUCGAACGAGACCUUCGGGUCUAGUGGCGCACGGGUGCGUAACGCGUGGGAACCUGCCCUUAGGUUCGGAAUAACUCCCCGAAAGGGGUGCUAAUACCGGAUAAUGUCUUCGGACCAAAGAUUUAUCGCCUUUGGAUGGGCCCGCGUUGGAUUAGCUAGUUGGUAGGGUAAAAGCCUACCAAGGCGACGAUCCAUAGCUGGUCUGAGAGGAUGAUCAGCCACACUGGGACUGAGACACGGCCCAGACUCCUACGGGAGGCAGCAGUGGGGAAUAUUGGGCAAUGGGCGAAAGCCUGAUCCAGCAAUGCCGCGUGAGUGAUGAAGGCCUUAGGGUUGCAAAGCUCUUUUACCCGGGAUGAUAAUGACAGUACCGGGAGAAUAAGCUCCGGCUAACUCCGUG
rnacentral:rRNA from 1 species